rnacentral:rRNA from 1 species
UACGGAGGAUCCAAGCGUUAUCCGGAUUUAUUGGGUUUAAAGGGUGCGCAGGCGGGAUAAUAAGUCAGAGGUGAAAGCCUACAGCUCAACUGUAGAAUUGCCUUUGAUACUGUUAUUCUUGAGUAUAUUUGAAGUGGGCGGAAUGUGUCAUGUAGCGGUGAAAUGCUUAGAGAUGACACAGAACACCAAUUGCGAAGGCAGCUCGCUAAACUAUAACUGACGCUCAUUGCACGAAAGCGUGGGGA